rnacentral:rRNA from 1 species
UACGGAGGAUGCAAGCGUUAUCCGGAAUCACUGGGUGUAAAGCGUCUGUAGGUUGUUGAGUAAGUCUGCUGUUAAAGCUUAGGGCUCAACCCUAAAAAAGCAGUGGAAACUGUUCGACUAGAGUAUAGUAGGGGUAAAGGGAAUUUCCAGUGGAGCGGUGAAAUGCGUAGAGAUUGGAAAGAACACCGAUGGCGAAGGCACUUUACUGGGCUAUUACUAACACUCAGAGACGAAAGCUAGGGUAGCAAAUGGG